rnacentral:rRNA from 1 species
AAAGCGAUUCCCCGAGUAGUGGCGAACGAAAGGGGACAAGCCCAGCGCAUAACCUCCCGGGCUACCCAGCCUGCGGCGGAAUGUUGCGUUAAGGGAAAGGUCGUUUCUAAACCCUGCACAGCGUGUACCUAAGCAUGGCUUGAAUAUCCACUGCUUCCCAACGGAAGUAACGGCUCCAUGGAGGGUGACAGACCCGUGUGGACACGUCGACUAUUUGUGCGUGGGUUCGGCUUUUUUUCCCUGAGAGUCGCGUUGCUUGAGCAUGCAGCGCUAAGCAGGUCGUAAACUCGACCUAAGGCUAAAUAUUUCCACAGAACCGAUAGCAAACAAGUACCGUGAGGGAAAGUUGAAAAGCACUCUGAAGAGAGAGUCAAAAGACCGUGAAACCGCUUAGAGUAUAAGCCGAUGGUAUCCGGAAGGUUGGGUCCCCACGGGAGCCUGGGCUAUGUGUGUGUUUCUACACACAGACCAGCACCGUGCAACGGGUGUGAUAAAGGCCAGAAGGCGAGAGUGGAAUCCAACCGAUAGUGGCAUUGAGUUGAUAACACACCGAUGGUAAUCUUGCGGGGCUCUGACAGUGGUAACAGGGAAGGUUCUAAUGAGGAUCCGACCCGAGGCUGGCCUUUUGCAAGCUCUCGCUGCGAGUCACACAACCGAGUGGGCUGCACACAACCCACCACAACUCUGUGUGAGGUCACCCGCACGCAGGACUGAGCUUGGUGUUUUUUUUUUUGGAUUCGGUGCGUUCAGAAAGUUCUUGGUCGUGUGUGUCGCAAGUAUCACGACCGGUGGCGCUCUAUAUUGAUUCACAGGUACACGUCGAACCGGAAGUUUCCGCUCUGCCCCUAUCCCAAACCUGCAAUUGGUAUGAUCCUCAGCCAAGGU